UGGGGAAUAUUGCACAAUGGGCGGAAGCCUGAUGCAGCGACGCCGCGUGGGGGAUGACGGUCUUCGGAUUGUAAACCCCUUUCAGUAGGGACGAAGCGCAAGUGACGGUACCUGCAGAAGAAGCACCGGCUAACUACGUGCCAGCAGCCGCGGUAAUACGUAGGGUGCGAGCGUUGUCCGGAAUUACUGGGCGUAAAGAGCUCGUAGGCGGUUUGUCACGUCGUCUGUGAAAUCCCUCGGCUUAACCGGGGGCGUGCAGGCGAUACGGGCAGACUUGAGUACUACAGGGGAGACUGGAAUUCCUGGUGUAGCGGUGAAAUGCGCAGAUAUCAGGAGGAACACCGGUGGCGAAGGCGGGUCUCUGGGUAGUAACUGACGCUGAGGAGCGAAAGCAUGGGUAGCGAACAGG
rnacentral:rRNA from 1 species